AAGCAGAGAUUUAAGCUCGUACCUUUUGCAUCAUGAUUUAGCUAGAAAAACCCAAGCAAAGAGAACUUUAGUUUGAUUCCCCGAAACUAAGUGAGCUACUCCAAGACAGCCUAUUAAUAGGGCACACCCGUCUCUGUGGCAAAAGAGUGGGAAGAGCUUUGAGUAGAGGUGACAGACCUACCGAACCUAGUUAUAGCUGGUUGCCUGAGAAUUGGAUAGAAGUUCAGCCUCUCGGCUUCUUUCUUCACUUCCGUCUUGACCCCUCCUGACACCUAAAGAAACCGAGAGAGUUAGUCAAAGGGGGUACAGCCCCUUUGAAACAAGACACAACUUUUCCAGGAGGAUAAAGAUCAUAAAAACAAAGGUAAAAUGUUUGGGUGGGCCUAAAAGCAGCCAUCCCUAUAGAAAGCGUUAAAGCUCAGACAUACCUAUUACCCCCUUCAUCCCGAUAAUUUUAUCUUAACCCCCUAUUUCUACCAGGCCAUCCCAUGCAAGCAUGGGAGUGAUCAUGCUAAUAUGAGUAAUAAGAGAGCAUAAAACUCUCUCCUUGCACACGUGUAAAUCGGAACGGACUCCCCACCGAACAUUAACGGCCCCAAACAAAGAGGGUACUGAACAACAGACCAAACAACCAGAAGAACAUUCAAAACACUACCGUUAACCCCACACUGGUGUGCCCCCUAGGAAAGACUAAAAGAAAGAGAAGGAACUCGGCAAACACAUGAAGCCUCGCCUGUUUACCAAAAACAUCGCCUCUUGCAAAGCUGAAAAAUAAGAGGUCCCGCCUGCCCUGUGACUAUAAGUUUAACGGCCGCGGUAUUUUGACCGUGCGAAGGUAGCGCAAUCACUUGUCUUUUAAAUGGAGACCUGUAUGAAUGGCACAACGAGGGCUUAGCUGUCUCCUUUUUCAAGUCAAUGAAAUUGAUCUCCCCGUGCAGAAGCGGGGAUAAAACCAUAAGACGAGAAGACCCUAUGGAGCUUUAGACACCCAGGCAGAUCAUGUUAAACACUCCUAAAUAAAGGAUUAAACCAGAUGAACCCUGCCCUAAUGUCUUUGGUUGGGGCGACCGCGGGGAAACAAAAAACCCCCACGUGGAAUGGGAAUACUCCUCCUACAACUAAGAGCUCCUGCUCUAACAAACAGAAUUUCUGACCAAUAAGAUCCGGCAACGCCGAUCAACGGACCGAGUUACCCUAGGGAUAACAGCGCAAUCCCCUUUUAGAGCCCAUAUCGACAAGGGGGUUUACGACCUCGAUGUUGGAUCAGGACAUCCUAAUGGUGCAGCCGCUAUUAAGGGUUC
rnacentral:rRNA from 1 species